AGUUGUAAGGAAACAUCAAGUGUUUGAUGCAAUUAUAUCAGGUGCUACUAGAAUGGAGGCAAAUCAAUUAUGUAAGCUUUAAACAGUCUGUGCUCAGAAGCAACCACCUCCUACAAGCAGAACCAUGUAAGAUCAGAAAAGACACUUCAGAUGUAGAACUCUUGGCUCCUUCUCCAGCAUCCAUGAUUGCCUGCACACUGCCAUACUUCCUGCCAUGAUGAAAAUAGACCAAACUUCUGAGCCUCUAAGCCAUCCCCAAUUAAAUGUUUUCUUU